UACGGAGGGUGCAAACGUUGCUCGGAACCAUUGGGCGUAAAGCGCACGUAGGCGGUGCGUUAAGUCGGAUGUGAAAGCCCCGGGCUCAACCCGGGAAGUGCAUACGAAACUGGCGCGCUUGAAUAUGGAAGAGGGUCGCGGAAUUCCCGGUGUAGAGGUGAAAUUCGUAGAUAUCGGGAGGAACACCUGUGGCGAAAGCGGCUCACUGGACCGCAACUGACGCUGAGGCGCGAAAGCUAGGGGAGCAAACAGG
rnacentral:rRNA from 1 species